rnacentral:piRNA from 1 species
UGACUAUGGCCUCCAAGUUAAUGUGUAUG